UUUCAACAACAAGUGCUUGACAUUUUGGAAAACAUUCCUAAUGAUUGUCAGACCAUUUUGGUUUCAGCCACAAUUCCAACUAGCAUAGAACAGCUAGCAAGCCAGCUUCUGCAUAAUCCUGUGAGAAUUAUCACUGGAGAAAAGAACCUACCUUGUGCCAAUGUACGUCAGAUUAUUUUGUGGGUAGAAGACCCAGCCAAAAAGAAAAAAUUAUUUGAAAUUUUAAAUGAUAAGAAACUCUUUAAGCCUCCAGUGUUAGUAUUUGUGGACUGCAAACUAGGAGCAGAUCUUUUGAGUGAAGCCGUUCAGAAAAUCACAGGGCUGAAAAGCAUAUCUAUACAUUCAGAGAAGUCGCAAAUAGAAAGGAAAAACAUAUUGAAGGGAUUACUUGAAGGAGACUAUGAAGUUGUAGUGAGCACAGGAGUCUUGGGACGAGGCCUAGACUUGAUCAGUGUCAGGCUGGUUGUCAAUUUUGAUAUGCCUUCAAGUAUGGAUGAGUAUGUCCAUCAGCUGAAUAUUAUUUGGGUUGUGCCCUUCUCUGGAAUUAAUAUCAACGCAUCUCUUAUUGCCUUGUUAUACAGUCUACUCACCACAAUCAAUAUGAAGUUUACUCCAUAAACAGAGGUAUGGUACAAGAGGUAACGUGUCAUCCAAGGUGACUUUCCUGGCAGCCACCAGUAAACUGACUCCGGACAGAUAGGACUCUUUUGUUGCCGCCAAGGCAUACUUACAAUGACCUCAGAGGCUCUAGGGCCACAGUGUGAAAACCAACCAAUGGAUAAUUAAGUAAACACAGUUCUCUUGUUCUACUGUUAGUGUGAGAACCUAUUUUAUAUUUUAUAAUGUGUUGCACGUGUGAUGAUAUAGGACAAAAUUACAAAUAAAGCAUAAGACGAGUGUUUAUUUUUGUAAUGUUUACAAAUAGUAACUUACAAAUAAAUUUUA
rnacentral:lncRNA from 10 species